GUACGGGGGGGGGGGCAAGCGUUGUUCGGAAUUACUGGGCGUAAAGGGCUCGUAGGCGGCCAACUAAGUCGGACGUGAAAUCCCUCGGCUUAACCGGGGAACUGCGUCCGAUACUGGAUGGCUUGAGUGUGGGAGAGGGAUGCGGAAUUCCAGGUGUAGCGGUGAAAUGCGUAGAUAUCUGGAGGAACACCGGUGGCGAAGGCGGCAUCCUGGACUACUACUGACGCUGAGGGAGCGAAAGCCAGGGGGAGCAAAGCGGG
rnacentral:rRNA from 1 species